rnacentral:lncRNA from 1 species
AGAAAAUGGAUGACAGGAAAUACAAUCAUUUAUACAAGGCCCCAAACACAAAGAGAAAAGCAUCCUGGGUGCUCCUGCAGAAACCGCGGAAUAGAGUGGAUGAUAAGAUAAAUAUCCUGUAUCCUAGACCAUGAAUAGAAUAAACAGAAGAGAAAAGCAUCCUAGGCUUCUUGAAUUCAUUUGUAUUUUGGAUAUCAGCACUCUCAGGGGUUGGUGAAGAUCUUUUCCCAUUAUGUGCAGUGCUGUUUUGUCUUCUGGCCCCCAGCAUAAAACUAGAACAACUAGAAGAAACCAUCCUGAGUGUGGUAAUCCUGUCACAAAAAUACAAACAUGGUAUGUAGUGAAUAAUAUAUGAAUUUUAGACAUAGUGCAAAGGAUUACUAGCCUACAAUCCACAUCAACAAAGUAACUAAGAAAAAAUGAGCACCUCAAGUGAAG